ACACGGAAAGGAGGUGGUCCGAAGAAUGAAUUCGUCUUGGACAUGUGAGGUGGCUGUCCGCUAGUCGCGGACCCCAGUUCAGCACCAACUGGACCGGUGACGGCGAAUACCCGCAGUCAUCCGACCCGCAGGGUGCCGAGUGUGUCCGCUCGGUGAGGGGCCUGAGCCCCAGCCCUGCGGGUCGUCCACG
rnacentral:sRNA from 1 species